rnacentral:lncRNA from 1 species
GGGAAGGGCAGUGAAGAAGUCGGUCCUCGGGCGGUGCGUCAUCGGGUCAAAACCCAUUUGGAUCAGCUUCUUCUUGAGGUGAGUGUGCCACAAGUUCUUGAUCUCGUUGUCGGUCCGCCCGGGAAGGUGCAUUGCGAUUGCAGACCACCUGAAUGGAUCAGAGUUCCUCUAGGUUUAGAUUUGAUUCAGAAUGGUCACAAGAGCACAUGUAGUUAGUACAGUAAGAGAGCUGAUAAGUACUUGUUGCCUAGGAUGGAAUGGAGGUUGAGAAUGGUUUGCUCUUCUUCUGGGGAGAAGUUGCCUCUCUUGAUGUCUGGCCUCAAGUAGUUGGUCCAUCUGAGCCUGCAGCUCUUGCCGCAUCGAUUAAGUCCUGCAAGAGAGAAGAACACCAAAC